rnacentral:lncRNA from 1 species
CUUCACCACCACAGGAGGAAAAUAUCCUGGGACCCCCAGAAAGUCUCUCUGAAUGAAGACAGCAGGUUCAGUUCAGGGUGUGGACAAACAGGCGCUUCUGUGGACCAGAGCUCGAGCUGCCUGAAGUCCAGGAACGCAGUACUCGGACUCGGUUGGAGAUUUCAUUUGUCCCCGCUCUGGGCAAGAAAAUGAAGGGGCA